GUGGCCUUAGCUCAGUUGGUAGAGCGCCUGACUGUUAAUCAGGUUGUCGCUGGUUCGAGUCCAGCAGGCUACGUCA
rnacentral:tRNA from 1 species